GCAGUCGAGCGGUAGAGAGAAGCUUGCUUCUCUUGAGAGCGGCGGACGGGUGAGUAAUGCCUAGGAAUCUGCCUGGUAGUGGGGGAUAACGUUCGGAAACGGACGCUAAUACCGCAUACGUCCUACGGGAGAAAGCAGGGGACCUUCGGGCCUUGCGCUAUCAGAUGAGCCUAGGUCGGAUUAGCUAGUUGGUGAGGUAAUGGCUCACCAAGGCGACGAUCCGUAACUGGUCUGAGAGGAUGAUCAGUCACACUGGAACUGAGACACGGUCCAGACUCCUACGGGAGGCAGCAGUGGGGAAUAUUGGACAAUGGGCGAAAGCCUGAUCCAGCCAUGCCGCGUGUGUGAAGAAGGUCUUCGGAUUGUAAAGCACUUUAAGUUGGGAGGAAGGGUUGUAGAUUAAUACUCUGCAAUUUUGACGUUACCGACAGAAUAAGCACCGGCUAACUCUGUGCCAGCAGCCGCGGUAAUACAGAGGGUGCAAGCGUUAAUCGGAAUUACUGGGCGUAAAGCGCGCGUAGGUGGUUUGUUAAGUUGGAUGUGAAAUCCCCGGGCUCAACCUGGGAACUGCAUUCAAAACUGACUGACUAGAGUAUGGUAGAGGGUGGUGGAAUUUCCUGUGUAGCGGUGAAAUGCGUAGAUAUAGGAAGGAACACCAGUGGCGAAGGCGACCACCUGGACUAAUACUGACACUGAGGUGCGAAAGCGUG
rnacentral:rRNA from 1 species